rnacentral:pre_miRNA from 1 species
UGAUGGUGAUGCUGAUGAUGAUGAUGAUGAUGAUGAUGAUGAUGAUGAUGAUGAUGAUUACUAUCAUUAUUAUCAGCAUUAUCAUUACUACGACCA